rnacentral:lncRNA from 1 species
AUGAGCUGGAGGGGUUUGGCACUGACAGCUGCUCCCUGGAGUUGUCUCUUGCCAAGCCGGAAAAUUUGCAGAAGAAUUGGCUUCGGGAAUUUUAUCAGGCACUGCCCAAGGGCCCACUGGCACCAGGCUGCCUUCAGAGUCCAGCAGAUGACACUAAAUUUACCUGGUUGCUUCAUUUCAUUCAGUCGGGAGAGCAACACUAACCAAACACAGCCUGUGAAGCACAACUCUGCAACAGAGCUCAUCUGUGGACCCUAACCCCAGGCCAUGCCAAUGCUCCACGUGCUUUAUUGCUCCAAAUCAAUUCUGGAUUCCAAGUCCUGACCUUAUCUCCUUGGGGAGCUCUAUGAAGUGACCAUCAUGAGAAAGCAGCUGUAGUGCUGAGUUCUGGAAAGCCAGCACACCCACUCUGACUGUUUCAGGGCAGCUCUCACAGUAGCACCGACUGGACGUGGCAGGAAUGUGCUGAGCAUCGUCUCACACAUUUUAACUGCUGUGGGUUUGCUUCAUUGGAGCUCUUCUUACACAGCUAAUGAAAAUAUAAACUGAUAAGACAAUAACAUAAUAAAUUAUUGCAAGUCAGAUUUAGGCA